AUUUGGAUUGCACUUCCACAUAGAGGUUGUGCAUUUCUGAAAUGUAAGGGCACCUGCUGCAUUUCAGCUGUAGUCGAGUACCCAGGCCACGCCUCUCCUCAGAGUCCAUGUCCCAGGUCAGGUUGCCAUCACAUCCUGGAUUGGUCUUCCCAUGUUUUUUGAAGGCUGUAUUGAACAUCCCACUUGUCUUUUGAAGAUGGAGCAGUCUUUGGGAGUCUGUAUCACACCUGCCGAAACCAGUUUUAUAUCUGAUCACUUCCUAUCCAGAGGUCUUGGCUGCAGCAACCGGUGGCACCCAUGUCACAGCAUCAUUUCCUGUUCCUCACACACAGAGGGUGGAUGCCUCACCACUUCCAGGUUUCCCGGUCUACUCUUGUGAAUGGUGCAGGAAGAACACCAGAAUUGCCUAGGUAGAGGGGGCCGCCAUUUUGGACACCCAAAGUUGUGCGGAGAAGAAAAGCUGACAGGAGUCCUGAUUGGUCAUUAACAGAAAAUCUUUGUGGUGGAAUUCGACAGUGAAAUAUAAGUGAUAAAAAUUAUAUGUGACUUAACAGAAUGUGUAAAAAAGAUAUAGGACUUAUAAAGGAAGACUUGAGAUGAGGGGUGAUAUUUUGCUGGACAAUUUCAUUC